rnacentral:rRNA from 1 species
AUUGAACGCUGGCGGCAGGCCUAACACAUGCAAGUCGAACGAGUGGCGGACGGGUGAGUCAUGUCUGGGAAACUGCCCGAUGGAGGGGGAUAACUACUGGAAACGGUAGCUAAUACCGCAUACCAUCGGAUGUGCCCAGAUGGGAUUAGCUUGUAGUUGCGGUAACGGCUCACCUAGGCGACGAUCCCUAGCUGGUCUGAGAGGAUGACCAGCCACACGGUGACGGAGACACGGUCCAGACUCCUACGGGAGGCAGCAGGGGGGAAUAUUGUGCAAUGGGCGCAAGCCUGAUGUAGCCUUGCCGCGUGUAUGAAGAAGGCCUUCGGGGGUUAAAGUAUUUUCAGCGGGGAGGCGUUACCUGCAGAAGAAGCACCGUUUAACUCCGUGCCAGCAGUCGCGGUAAUAC